UACGUAGGGUGCGAGCGUUGUCCGGAAUUAUUGGGCGUAAAGAGCUCGUAGGCGGUGUGUCGCGUCGGCCGUGAAAACCUGCAGCUUAACUGUGGCGUGCGGUCGAUACGGGCAUCACUGGAGUUCGGCAGGGAGACUGGAAUUCCUGGUGUAGCGGUGAAAUGACGCAGAUAUCAGGAGGAACACCAGUGGCGAAGGCGGCUGACUGGUCCGGUUCUGACGCUGAGGCGGCGAAAAGCGUGGGAGCAACAGG
rnacentral:rRNA from 1 species